CAGCAGCCGCGGUAAUACGAAGGGACCUAGCGUAGUUCGGAAUUACUGGGCUUAAAGAGUUCGUAGGUGGUUGAAAAAGUUAGUGGUGAAAUCCCAGAGCUUAACUCUGGAACUGCCAUUAAAACUUUUCAGCUAGAGUAUGAUAGAGGAAAGCAGAAUUUCUAGUGUAGAGGUGAAAUUCGUAGAUAUUAGAAAGAAUACCAAUUGCGAAGGCAGCUUUCUGGAUCAUUACUGACACUGAGGAACGAAAGCAUGGGUAGCGAAGAGGAUUAGAUACCCUCGUAGUCCAUGCCGUAAACGAUGUGUGUUAGACGUUGGAAAUUUAUUUUCAGUGUCGCAGGGAAACCGAUAAACACACCGCCUGGGGAGUACGACCGCAAGGUUAAAACUCAAAUGAAUUGACGGGGACCCGCACAAGUAGUGGAGCAUGUGGUUUAAUUCGAAGAUACGCGCAGAACCUUACCAACACUUGACAUGUUCGUCGCGACUCUAAGAGAUUAGAGUUUUCGGUUCGGCCGGACGAAACACAGGUGCUGCAUGGCUGUCGUCAGCUCGUGUCGUGAGAUGUUGGGUUAAGUCCCGCAACGAGCGCAACCCUCACUUUUAGUUGCCAUCAUUAAGUUGGGCACUCUGAAAGAACUGCCAGUGAUAAGCUGGAGGAAGGUGGGGAUGACGUCAAGUCCUCAUGGCCCUUACGUGUUGGGCUACACACGUGCUACAAUGGUAUCUACAACAGGAAGCAAGACUGCGAAGUUAAGCAAAUCCCUAAAAGAUACCUCAGUUCGGAUUGCACUCUGCAACUCGAGUGCAUGAAGCUGGAAUUACUAGUAAUCGUGGAUCAGCGUGCCACGGUGAAUGCGUUCCCGGGUCUUGUACACACCGCCCGUCACACCAUGGGAGUUGGUUCUACCUUAAGGCAAGGUUUUAAACCCUUGACCACGGUAUAGUCAGCGACUGGGGUG
rnacentral:rRNA from 1 species